AGACACAAUAACAUGCACUUUGAUAUUUAAAACUUUGCAGAACUUUUACAUUCACAAACAGCUUUAUCACACACUGCAUGAAAGACUGAAGAAAGAAAGACAUAAACAUCUUGGAUGACAUGGGGGAUGCCCUGUGGUCCAGGAAGACCCUUUUGGAAAGGAAGCCGUUCUUUCCUCGCGUCUGCAGUGGGACUCUUGAGAUUGAUGAUGGUGUGUUUGGAUGUGUCACAAUGUUAAUGCUCCUGUCGUGUUGUGACAGCUAGUACAUGUGUGGGCCGGAUGCCAUGCCUGUUUUAGUGACGUGUCUGUGUUUGGAGAGAGAGCAGGAGGAUGAUCUUCAGAGUCCGACGGGCAGCUGGACGCUCUCAGCCCGCAGGCACAGCUUCGCCCCAUGGGUAUCAGGCCUGGCACAGUGUUGUUCUGCGCCAGCUGGGACUAGGAUGGACAGAAUGGGCAGUUGUCUGCUGCUGAACAUCACGUCAGCAAACAGAACGCUGUAAAACAACAUUGAUUGGGUUGUUUGAUAGCUUAUAUAACAAUUCCCAAUUGAUUCAUGUGCUCAUAUGCUUAAGUUGAGACUUUAAUUUUGGUCUCUUACACAAAGCUAUUGUAUAGCACAUACAUUACCGGUCAAAAGUUGGGAAGAAUUCAGUUUUAUUUAACUUGACUAUUGUUUAAAAAUUACAAUAUUGCUGGCUUAAAAUGAACCCAAAAUAGAUGAGACUUAUCUGUAAAAGUCUGAUUGGAAUUGCAUGUCAAACCACCUCCAAAUGUGAAUCAGUUUUGAAGAAAAAAUAAAAAUAAAUAAAUAAAAGA